rnacentral:rRNA from 1 species
UUUUUGAAGUCUUCGGAUGGAUAGAAGAACCCCUGAUGCCGUCGAGCCAAGAAAAGUUUCUAAGUUUAGCUAAUGUUGCCCGUACCGUAAACCGACACAGGUGGGUGGGAUGAGUAUUCUAAGGCGCGUGGAAGAACUCUCUUUAAGGAACUCUGCAAAAUAGCACCGUAUCUUCGGUAUAAGGUGUGGUUCGCUUCGUAUUAGGAUUUACUCCGAAAGCGAAGAAACUUACAACAAAGAGUCCCUCCCGACUGUUUACCAAAAACACAGCACUCUGCUAACUCGUAAGAGGAUGUAUAGGGUGUGACGCCUGCCCGGUGCUCGAAGGUUAAUUGAUGGGGUUAGCAUUAGCGAAGCUCUUGAUCGAAGCCCGAGUAAACGGCGGCCGUAACUAUAACGGUCCUAAGGUAGCGAAAUUCCUUGUCGGUUAAAUACCGACCUGCAUGAAUGGCGUAACGAGAUGGGAGCUGUCUCAAAGAGGGAUCCAGUGAAAUUGUAGUGGAGGUGAAAAUUCCUCCUACCCGCGGCAAGACGGAGAGACCCCGUGGACCUUUACUACAGCUUGACACUGCUAUUUGGAUAAGAAUGUGCAGGAUAGGUGGGAGGCUUUGAGUAUAUGACGCCAGUUGUAUAUGAGCCAUUGUUGAGAUACCACUCUUUCUUAUUUGGGUAGCUAACCAGCUUGAGUUAUCCUCAAGUGGGACAAUGUCUGGUGGGUAGUUUGACUGGGGCGGUCGCCUCCCAAAUAAUAACGGAGGCUUACAAAGGUUGGCUCAGAACGGUUGGAAAUCGUUCGUAGAGUAUAAAGGUAUAAGCCAGCUUAACUGCAAGACAUACAAGUCAAGCAGAGACGAAAGUCGGUCUUAGUGAUCCGGUGGUUCUGUGUGGAAGGGCCAUCGCUCAAAGGAUAAAAGGUACCCCGGGGAUAACAGGCUGAUCUCCCCCAAGAGCUCACAUCGACGGGGAGGUUUGGCACCUCGAUGUCGGCUCAUCGCAUCCUGGGGCUGGAGCAGGUCCCAAGGGUAUGGCUGUUCGCCAUUUAAAGCGGUACGCGAGCUGGGUUCAGAACGUCGUGAGACAGUUCGGUCCCUAUCUGCCGUGGGCGUAAGAAGAUUGAAGAGAUUUGACCCUAGUACGAGAGGACCGGGUUGAACAAACCACUGGUGUAGCUGUUGUUCUGCCAAGAGCAUCGCAGCGUAGCUAAGUUUGGAAAGGAUAAACGCUGAAAGCAUCUAAGCGUGAAGCCAACUCUAAGAUGAAUCUUCUCUAAGCUCUCUAGAAGACUACUAGUUUGAUAGGCUGGGUGUGUAAUGGAUGAAAGUCCUUUAGCUGACCAGUACUAAUAGAGCGUUUGGCUUAUCUUUAAUAAAGCAU